rnacentral:rRNA from 1 species
AUUAAACGCUGGCGGCAUGCCUUACACAUGCAAGUCGAACGGCAGCACGGGGGCAACCCUGGUGGCGAGUGGCGAACGGGUGAGUAAAGCAUCGGAACGUGCCCUGGAGUGGGGGGAUAACGUAGCGAAAGUUACGCUAAUACCGCAUAUUCUGUGAGCAGGAAAGCAGGGGAUCGCAAGACCUUGCGCUCUGGGAGCGGCCGAUGUCGGAUUAGCUAGUUGGUGGGGUAAAGGCCUACCAAGGCGACGAUCCGUAGCGGGUCUGAGAGGAUGAUCCGCCACACUGGGACUGAGACACGGCCCAGACUCCUACGGGAGGCAGCAGUGGGGAAUUUUGGGACAAUGGGCGAAAGCCUGAUCCAGCCAUGCCGCGUGAGUG